GAUGAAGAACGCAGCGAAAUGCGAUAAGUAAUGUGAAUUGCAGAAUUCAGUGAAUCAUCGAAUCUUUGAACGCACAUUGCGCCCCUUGGUAUCCCGAGGGGCAUGCCUGUUCGAGCGUCAUUUCACCACUCAAGCCUGGCUUGGUGUUGGGCGACGUCCUCUUUGGGGACGCGCCUCGAAACGCUCGGCGGCGUGGCACCGGCUUUAAGCGUAGCAGAAUCUUUCGCUUUGGAAGUCGGGGCCCCGUCUGCCGGAAGACCUGCUCGCAAGGUUGACCUCGGAUCAGGCAGGGAUACCCGCUGAACUCAAGCAUAUCAAUAAGCGGAGGA
rnacentral:misc_RNA from 1 species